rnacentral:rRNA from 1 species
UACGUAGGGUGCAAGCGUUAAUCGGAAUUACUGGGCGUAAAGGGCGCGUAGGCGGUCGUGACAAGUCACUUGUGAAAUCUCCGGGCUUAACUCGGAACGGUCAAGUGAUACUGUCGGACUAGAGUACAGAAGGGGCAACUGGAAUUCUCGGUGUAGCGGUGAAAUGCGUAGAUAUCGAGAGGAACACCUGCGGCGAAGGCGGGUUGCUGGGCUGAUACUGACGCUGAGGCGCGAAAGCCAGGGGAGCGAACGGG